UACGGAGGAUGCGAGCGUUAUCCGGAAUCAUUGGGUUUAAAGGGUCCGUAGGCGGUUUAAUAAGUCAGUGGUGAAAUCUGGUCGCUCAACGAUCAAAAUGCCAUUGAUACUGUUAGACUUGAAUUAUUGUGAAGUAACUAGAAUAUGUAGUGUAGCGGUGAAAUGCUUAGAUAUUACAUGGAAUACCAAUUGCGAAGGCAGGUUACUAACAAUUUAUUGACGCUGAUGGACGAAAGCGUGGGGAGCGAACAGG
rnacentral:rRNA from 1 species